UACGUAGGGUGCAAGCGUUGUCCGGAAUUAUUGGGCGUAAAGAGCUCGUAGGCGGUCUGUCGCGUCUGCUGUGAAAACUCAGGGCUUAACCCUGAGCUUGCAGUGGGUACGGGCAGACUAGAGUACUGCAGGGGAGACUGGAAUUCCUGGUGUAGCGGUGGAAUGCGCAGAUAUCAGGAGGAACACCGGUGGCGAAGGCGGGUCUCUGGGCAGUAACUGACGCUGAGGAGCGAAAGCUAGGGUAGCGAACGGG
rnacentral:rRNA from 1 species